rnacentral:rRNA from 1 species
UUUAGGGUGGUUUUAGCAGAGGGGCUCACCUGUUCCCAUUCCGAACACAGAAGUUAAGCCCUCUAGCGCCGAUGGUACUGCGAAAGCGGGAGAGUAGGUCGCCGCCAGUUU